CCUACGGGGGGCAGCAAUCGGGAAUUUUGCGCAAUGGGCGAAAGCCUGACGCAGCGACGCCGCGUGAAGGAUGACGGCCUUCGGGUUGUAAACUUCUGCGAAUAGCACCGGCUAACUACGUGCCAGCAGCAGCGGUCAUACGUAGGGUGCAAGCAUUACCCGGAUUUACUGGGCGUAAAGAGUUCUGUAGGCGGUUAUAUAAGUCAGGGGUUAAAUCUUUGGGCCCAACCCAAAGACUGCUUUUGAUACUGUAUGACUAGAGACAUCUAGGGGAUAGCAGAACGUAUGGUGGAGCGGUGAAAUGCGUUGAUAUCAUACGGAACACCAAGGGGGAAGCCAGCUAUCUGGGGAUGUUCUGACGCUGAGAGACGAAAGCGUGAGUAGCGAAACGGAUUAGAUACCCUUGUAGUC
rnacentral:rRNA from 1 species